rnacentral:rRNA from 1 species
UACGUAGGGGGCAAGCGUUGUCCGGAAUUACUGGGCGUAAAGCGUGCGCAGGCGGUUUUGUAAGCCAGAUGUGAAAGCCCCGGGCUUAACCUGGGAAUGGCAUUUGGGACUGCAAGGCUUGAGUGCGGCAGAAGAGACUGGAAUUCCUGGUGUAGCAGUGAAAUGCGUAGAUAUCAGGAGGAAUACCGAUGGCGAAGGCAGGUCUCUGGGCUGACACUGACGCUCAUGCACGAAAGCGUGGGGAGCAAACAGG